GAACAGCCGACAGGGGUGCCCAUCCAUCCAUCCAUCCAGUGCAUACAGUAGGAACUUUUAGGCCGUGGUCUGACGGAAAGUCUACGUGGAGUCAAAUUUCAGAGUUGGAGCACUGAAUUGCAGUGAGUCACACAGAGAGCCUGAGAGCUGCCUUUGUUCCACUUGUGUCUGAACGUUGGAGGAGAAACAGCAGGCUCCAGUUUUCAUUAACUCAUUUGCAGAAGUGUAAAAUUCAUGUUCACUGAACAUUUUCCCCACUCUGAGGUCUUUCAACUGACUUUCAAACAAUGCUGUCAUGUCGUGCCUGGUGGACCUGGGAUGUGCUACUACUGUUCUUAGGCCUGUCGAUCCAUGCUUGUUCAGCAGCUCAGGUCAUAGAAGAAAAGCUUUGUUAAGGCACAUACGAGAUGAAGAGGUGAUUCAAGACAGCCAGCAUGUUUUCACCAAGGGCAGAUGGCAUCUGACCAAACUUGUGGCCUUCUAUGAUGGAGUCAUUGCAUCAGUGGACAGUGGACAGUGGCAUCUCGUAUGUGACUUAAAGUAGCUUCUAGGAGGAUCUGCUCCAUGAUCUUCUCAGGCACAGAGUCACCAGGGACUUCACCCAACAGCCACAAUUUUUCAAAUAUGAUGGAGAGCGGCUUGGCAACCACAUCAGCCAUCUCUUUCAGAACCCCAGGAUGUAUCUCAUCUGGCCCCAUGGACUUAUACACGUUCAAUUUCAUGAGGAGGACUUGGACUUGUUCCACUGUUACAGUGGGACAGAAACCACUUCCCACACCCUCACCUACAGGCAGUGAAGCACCACACAGCUAUUUACUCACUUCCCCAGAGCAGGAUGGAAGAUAGAAAAAAAGAUGGUAGCAGAGGUGCAGUCUGACAAAAUGGCAUCUGACAUGGAAGUGCCUCUGAAGUGAAGGUGUGGAACUGAAUUCCUCCUUGCAGAAAAAAAAUUGCACCUACUGACAUUCAUCAGCUCUUGCUGAAUGUUUCUGGAGACCAAACAAUGGAUGUGAGCACAGUGUGGCAGUGAGUGGUGCAUUUCAGCCAUGGUAACAGCGGCAGUGGUUCAUGAAAUCUGAUAGUGCAGAUUUCCACAGGUGUGGCAUGCUGGCUCUUGUUCAUGGCUGGCAAAAAUACUUGUGAUCUAUCUC
ensembl:lncRNA